UACGAAGGGGGCUAGCGUUGUCCGAAGUUACUGGGCGUAAAGAGCGCGUAGGCGGUUUAGUAAGUUGGGAGUGAAAGCCCGGGGCUUAACCUCGGAAUUGCUUCCAAAACUGCUAAUCUAGAGUUUAGUAGGGGAUGAUGGAAUUCCUAGUGUAGAGGUGAAAUUCUUAGAUAUUAGGAGGAACACCGGAGGCGAAGGCGGUCAUCUGGGCUAUAACUGACGCUGAUGCGCGAAAGCGUGGGGAGCAAACAGG
rnacentral:rRNA from 1 species